rnacentral:piRNA from 1 species
UAAGGAUGACUCGCUCUGAGAGCAGAACUC